rnacentral:tRNA from 1 species
GGUCGAUUGGCAGAGUGGUUAUGCAGAGGACUGCAAAUCCUUUUAUAGUGGUUCGAUUCCGCUAUCGACCUCCA